CUCUAAGUUUACUCCCAGCUGCUAUAAUAAUAGUUGUAUGAAGAACAAGAAGAAGAGGAAACUCCUCAAAUGAUCUUGACUGUGAUCUCAUCGUAUUACAAUUUACAAUAGUCCUCAACAGAUUUCCGUGGAUAAAUUAGUCUCUUGAAAUUAUUUGUCACCAAUCUAUUUUCUAUUUUUGAGGAAUUAAUUUGGUGACUAGAGCUGGUUUAAUGAUUUAUUAUAAUGAUAAUAGUAACAGAGUGACUCAAUGCCCACGGCUCCCACCGUUUUCAGGUUUAGGUAGAUCAGUCUAUGCAAUGGUAACUUCUUAUUCCAUAAAUGGAGAUGCUAUUUCUCUGAUUAAAACCAUUGACCUCCAAGUUCCACCUGAUGUUGUAAGACAAUAAAUUCUGACUUUGAUAAUGGUGCUUUGAAUUCAGAGCAACUGUUUAAUUAAUUUUUUGAGGGGUAUGCAACAUUACAAUGUUUUUCUAUUUAAAAAAUUCUCAAAUGGUUAGCUGAAAGUUGUACGUAACAUUAAACUCGUCCCCAAAAUGAUCCUAAAGUUGUCUGAGAACGACAACAGUGAUAUCGAUAUUUAUCAUUGAAGGGCCAAUUUGAUGUCAUUGAUAAAUGGUGCUUGAACAUGACAUCACAUGUAUCUUGAGAGGGCCAAAAUAUUUGUUAGCUCUGUGUACUUCACUAAUUUAUUUAUGCUGCAUGAAUGUGCUUGUAUAACAUUUUUGUUGCCUUUGGUCUGGUUGAUUGCGGAUCUACCUAGAAAUCAAAGAUUUAUAUUAUCUAUUUUUUAUCUUAUGCAGGAAAUUGCUAUCUGAGAAUAAGCAUGUCAAGUACCUUUAUAUUCCUUAUACUGAGUCUGCCGUGGUUGUGAGAUGCAAUCCUGUUUCAAAGUGGAAAG
rnacentral:lncRNA from 1 species